UCCGAGAGGGAUAAAAAAAAUGGUCGGAAAGAGAUGGGUGAAGGAUCUGCUAACGAAAGUAGUGGGCAAAGAAGAGAUGCGCAUAAAAGAAACACAAGAAAAUAAAGAGAAAGGGGAAAAAAGAGGAGGAGGAGAAAUAGUAUAAUUUUUGCCCAAAAAAUACAACUUUCGUUUAAAGAGUACAAUUUUCGUUCAAAAGUAUAACUUUCAUAGAGUGUAAGUUUUCUCUAAAAUAGUACAAUAUUUUUCUGAAACAGUGCAACGUUUUUCUGAAGUAGUGCAACUUCAUCAUUUUCUUCUUUUCUCUCUUGUUAUUUAUUUUUAUCGUAGAAAAAAAUUAUUUUUCUUUAUGUUUUAUUCUUUUUUUUUAAUUUUCUGUAUUUUUUUCGGCUCCGUUUUUACCCGCACUCUCUACAAGUACUCAUUUUCCAACGCCGGCGCCCAUACCAGCGAAU
rnacentral:lncRNA from 1 species